AAUAGAUACCCCGGUAGUCCAUGCCGUAAACGUUGGGCACUAGGUGUGGGGCUCAUUCCACGAGUUCCGUGCCGCAGCAAACGCAUUAAGUGCCCCGCCUGGGGAGUACGGCCGCAAGGCUAAAACUCAAAGGAAUUGACGGGGGCCCGCACAAGCGGCGGAGCAUGCGGAUUAAUUCGAUGCAACGCGAAGAACCUUACCAAGGCUUGACAUGCACGGGAAGCCACCAGAGAUGGUGGUCUCUUUGGACACUCGUGCACAGGUGGUGCAUGGUUGUCGUCAGCUCGUGUCGUGAGAUGUUGGGUUAAGUCCCGCAACGAGCGCAACCCUCGUCCCAUGUUGCCAGCGGGUUAUGCCGGGGGACUCAUGGGAGACUGCCGGGGUCAACUCGGAGGAAGGUGGGGAUGACGUCAAAUCAUCAUGCCCCUUAUGUCUUGGGCUUCACGCAUGCUACAAUGGCCGGUACAAAGGGCUGCGAUACCGUAAGGUGGAGCGAAUCCCAAAAAGCCGGUCUCAGUUCGGAUUGGGGU
rnacentral:rRNA from 1 species